GAUGAAGAACGCAGCGAAAUGCGAUAAGUAGUGUGAAUUGCAGAAUUCAGUGAAUCAUCGAAUCUUUGAACGCACAUUGCGCCCUUUGGUAUUCCAAAGGGCAUGCCUGUUCGAGCGUCAUUUGUACCCUCAAGCUUUGCUUGGUGUUGGGCGUCUUGUCUCUAGCUUUGCUGGAGACUCGCCUUAAAGUAAUUGGCAGCCGGCCUACUGGUUUCGGAGCGCAGCACAAGUCGCACUCUCUAUCAGCAAAGGUCUAGCAUCCAUUAAGCCUUUUUUUCAACUUUUGACCUCGGAUCAGGUAGGGAUACCCGCUGAACUUAAGCAUAUCAAUAAGCGGAGAA
rnacentral:misc_RNA from 1 species